AUUGAACGCUGGCGGCAUGCCUUACACAUGCAAGUCGAACGGCAGCACGGGUGCUUGCACCUGGUGGCGAGUGGCGAACGGGUGAGUAAUACAUCGGAACAUGUCCUGUAGUGGGGGAUAGCCCGGCGAAAGCCGGAUUAAUACCGCAUACGAUCUACGGAUGAAAGCGGGGGACCUUCGGGCCUCGCGCUAUAGGGUUGGCCGGUGGCUGAUUAGCUAGUUGGUGGGGUAAAGGCCUACCAAGGCGACGAUCAGUAGCUGGUCUGAGAGGACGACCAGCCACACUGGGACUGAGACACGGCCCAGACUCCUACGGGAGGCAGCAGUGGGGAAUUUUGGACAAUGGGCGAAAGCCUGAUCCAGCAAUGCCGCGUGUGUGAAGAAGGCCUUCGGGUUGUAAAGCACUUUUGUCCGGAAAGAAAUCCUUGGCCCUAAUACGGUCGGGGGAUGACGGUACCGGAAGAAUAAGCACCGGCUAACUACGUG
rnacentral:rRNA from 1 species